CACGUAGGGCGCGAAGCGUUGUCCGGAAUUAUUGGGCGUAAAGAGCUCGUAGGCGGUCUGUUGCGUCCGCUGUGAAAACUCGGGGCUUAACCCCGAGCCUGCAGUGGAUACGGGCAGACUAGAGGUAGGUAGGGGAGAAUGGAAUUCCCGGUGUAGCGGUGAAAUGCGCAGAUAUCGGGAGGAACACCGGUGGCGAAGGCGGUUCUCUGGGCCGAUACUGACGCUGAGGAGCGAAAGCGUGGGGAGCGAACAGG
rnacentral:rRNA from 1 species